GAGAGCCGGAUGCGGGAAAUCUGCAUGUCCGGUUCGACGAGGGGGGAGGGGCGCUGCUGCUGAUGUUUAGCACGCUUCUCCUCUACUCUAC
rfam:Betaproteobacteria bacterium RIFCSPLOWO2_12_FTLL_62_58 rifcsplowo2_12_scaffold_28613, whole genome shotgun sequence.